AGCAGCCUCACAGUCCACCCGCUGGUGUCCCAGGAACGGGGAUGACGCUGCCCGAUAAGUGGCGACCUUGGAGGAGACAAAAAGAGAGCUUCGCAAAUGGCCCGCACACGUACAGAAGGAGCCGAACCAAGCACCUUUCGAAGAAACGAUCCGCUGCCUCUGCUCUGCAUUGAGACGUCGUUGCAGAAGAGCAGAGGCCCCGGGGCCCCCUGUGAAAGAUCGUUCCGGCGGGCAAACACUCGGCAGCACGCGGUGCUCUGCGGCUUCAGCCAGCCGGAGGGCAGGGGCAUCCAUUUGGGCCCCCCGCAUCCUCCCCCCGUUGCCUCUUCGGGGGCAUUCCUCGACGCAGACAUCGGUUCCUCCUUUCUCUACGAGGGGCCUGGUUGCAUAAAAGGGCCCCGAGUCCGCAGGUAGAAAGAGUGUUCCUUAAACCUGCCCGUGGAACGGACGAACGGUUUUCAGUUCCUUGAAUCUCCAAACACAGCCAUGAAAGCAGCGUUCUUCGUCAUCCUAUCACUGGCGCUCGCCGCAGCAGCCUUUGCAACCGUCGGCCUAGGGCUGAACCUUGGCUAUGGUGUCGCCUCUCCGUAUGGCGCCUACGGUGGAUACAGACCAUACGGCUACAGGCCCUACGGCUACGGCGGUUAUGGCUACGGCUACAGGCCUUACGGCUAUGGUGGAGUUGGUUAUGGCUACAGGCCAUAUGGCGUCGGCUACGGCUACCCUGGCUACGUUGUUGGCUAGUACAAGGUCAAUACAACGAGCACACUUUCCCUGACGAACACAACUGCUACGUGGAAAGCUGCACCAGCCCUCCCACUGCAGUGAAUAAAUUUUAUUCGAAUCCAAAA